ACCAAAAGAGGUAUUUUCUAACAGUAAAAGUUUACUAUUUCUAACGGAUAUAUACCGUUACAAAUUUCUAACGAUUGUUAUCCGUUAGAACCGCAAGUUAUCUGUUAGUAUUAAUAACAAAUUAUUUUUAUUAAUUUUGUAACAGCUCAUAAAAUACGACUAACACUUGUAGUGCGUUAGUAAUAAGUGAACUACAAUUAUUUUUAUAUAUAUUAAAUUAAUAAAGAGGGCAGCAAUUUAUUUAAAUUAAACUUAAAAGGCAUUCCUUCCUCUCUUAUCUGGAUGUACGCUAAUUGACGAGAAAUAAAAGAAGAGAGAAAUAAAAGAAGAGAAUAAAUAAGCCUUGACUCUGCGACGACGGGGUAACAGUCGCCGAUGCCGCCGUCGCCUCCUCCUCCGCCGUUGCUGCCACCACCACCACCACCGCACAAGCAACAAUUUUUCAAAAGCAAUCAGCUUUUGAACAAUGUAUGGACGACGAAGACGACGACGAUAAAGUUUUAGGGUUUCCGCUUCCCUUUCAAACAUCGUCUAUUCGACACCGUCCUUGUAUAAUUUACAGCAGCGGGUGAUUAGGACCGCGACGAAAACAUCAAUUGAUACAAUUUCAGAGAAUGGGAGGAAUUGGGCAUUUGAAUAUACCUGGUUUAAGAGGUGUUAUUCACACAAGAAGCACAUGAUGUAGUUGGGGAGAAGAAACCCGAGGCUCUAUAAACAGAGGUAUAGGUAUGUUAGUAUGCCAUUUUAUUUUUCUUGAAAUUGAUAUAAAUUGGUAUUAUGUAAUGAGCUAUCGAAAAAUACUUGAUUAUUUUAAUUUUAUCACCGAUGUUGUGCUUUCCCGAGUAGCAACAGAUAAGAGAUUGUCUCUAAUUAAAGCAUGGGAAGAAAGUGAGAACUCAAAAGCUGAAAACAAGUCUCGGAAGAAAAUAUCUACUAUUUGAGAUUAGGAGAACAUUCGGACAAUGGCC